rnacentral:lncRNA from 9 species
GGAUUUUAUCUAACUCUCCUCUCCUUUUUUUUGCGAAAGCACCCCGAAAUGCCUUCUACUGUAUUGAUCUUUCUGCUUAGUGAACUAGUAAUUUACCCCUGGUUUCUGUUUUCACUUAAAGUUUGUUUCUAUGCAAGCUUCAUAAUAGAAAAAGUUAUGCUUUUCCUGAGUUUCUAGAGGAAAUUCUGGAGCGGUGUUCCCGGCCCUGCAGUGGAGGAUUGCAAAGUGUAGCCAUUCUUUCUUCAACACCUGACAGCUCUGGGAGCAGAAGGGCAGUGAUCGAGGGCAGUAAGUGGAAGAGCAAGGCCCUGAAGGCAUAGACCAGGAUUUAUAAAGCUGGUUCUGACAUAAGGAAUGCCUGUGACCUUUGGCAAGUGAUGUACCAUUUCUCAGGAUCCAGAUCCUGCUGUGUGAAAAGGAAAUAGCUGGAAGGGUUGGGUGGAUAAAAGAGGUAAAAUUUCAUAAAAGACUACUUUGGUAGGAAGUUGGUGAAUGUGGUAGGGGUGUGUUCCCUUCUUCUUGGGCUUUCCUGGCAAGACCUCCAGGAGCUAGUCAACAAGGUGCUUUGCUGUCUUAUCCCAAAAGGAAAGGUACACUCCAACUUGGAAACAAAGUAUUGGGAGGUAGGUGGGAAUCCUUGCUCCUAGGGUUGAUGAUUAUAGUCUCCACUUCCUAAAUACGUAGGGAUGAUAAACUUCCUGAACCAUUCACCCCGUUCUGUGAAAUGGAGAUUAUAAUGCCUAAUAGGAUUGUUGAAGUUGGUUAAAAAGAUUGUUUCUACAUUCAUUAUCUCAUUGAAUCGCCCCAUCGACAGUGAAAUAGGCUUUAUUUAUUCCCAUUUUAUAGCUGAGGACACUGAGGUUCAGAGAUGUCCAGUAAUCCAUGUAGGGUCAUGCAGCUGAUAAGUGAGAGCCAGGUUUUAAGCCUGGAUCUCUCUAAUCCAAAACUCAUGUGCUCUCCAUUGUACUUCCUACACCUUAGGGAGACUGAUAAGUAAAAGGGAAAGCAGAAAAUGGUAAAUACUUUGGUAUUUCUUGUGUGUGUGUGUGUGUGUGUGUGUGUGUGUGUGUGUGUGUGUGUGUGUGAUGAUCAUUUCCUGUCUGUUCUUUUUUUACUUUGUGAUUAUCAAACUUCUUCUUUCUUUCUUUUUUUUUUUUUCUUUUUAGGGCUGCACCUGAGGUACAUGGAGGUUCUCAGGUUGAAUCGGAGCUACAGCUGCUGGCCUGUACUGCAGCCACAGCAAUGUGGGAUCCGAGCCAAGUCUUUGACCUAAACCACAGCUCACGGCAACGCCAGAUCCCCAACCCAUCGAGCAAGGCCAGGGAUGGAACCUGAAACCUCAUGGAUCCUAGUUGGGUUCAUUAACUGCUGAGCCACAAAGGGAACUCCCUCAAACUUCUUAAUUUAUAUUUUUUAAUCUGCAAAAAAAUCAGCAACUAGCUAAGAGAGGAGAAAUCUUCCAGCCCACCCCACCCCUGCAUGGUAUCAGUCUUGGAAGACAAUAAAAAAUUUUUCUCCUCUGAAGGAUUAUCAAAUUGGAUGCCCAGCCCUGAGAAGCAGCAAGAUUUGGUUCUUUACUCUGCCUCUGAAGAGAGUCAGAGCUUCAGGCUUCAGGGAGGGACAAUCUCCAUCAAUGGUCAUCAUGUCCAGGGGCAGAUGGUGCUCAGAAUUAUAGGGAUGUUAGGAACCAAGCUGGAUUGACUUCAAAGUUACACCCUCAUUCAUGAGAAGGUGAGUUACCUAAAUUCAGAAAGAAGGGGCUUGAGUAAUGAUGAGAAAUCAAAGUGUAUCACAUGGGGACCAGCUGAUGAAGGCAGAGGCAGAGAAAAUGAGUGAGGAAAUGAAGCAAAAAGGUACAAAGAGAAACAGGGCUUGGUGCCCUUAAGAAAACACAGAUCAUCAAGCUCAAGCUGCAAUGCUGAACCAGCAGUAUGCAUUUGCUUGGGCAUCACUUGAUCUGGACAGGUGGAAAACUCAUUUCCUGUGCAGUCUGUUAAACACGAGGUAGGAAGCUGUGGCAUGUGAAAAUGCUUGUAUCUACAACAAUGUGCACACACACAGAAAAAUUCUUGACAAUCUAAAAUGGAGUUAGACUUUGACAGUGGGUGCACUGCAGGUGAAAGUAUGUCUCUUCUCCUUUGUAUUAGAGGCAGCCUGUGGGUAAAGUGACCCUCACUCCAGUUAGACUGGCCCUUCAGAACCUCAGCCUCUAUUUGCUAGAGCUCAGGAGUAGGGGGUGUGCCUGAAGAAUAAUGUCGAAUUAAGAGCAGUCUUCAAAAUAGAGAAGGAUUAUUAUUUGUUUUGAAGAAGUGCUAUUAACAUGCCAUGCUUUACCUAAAGUGCAAGAAAACUAUUUUGAUUUACCUGCAAAGUAAUGGUGUUAUGGCUGAUAGCAAGAUGAGCAUUUUAAUGACCUUAGAUUAAAAAAACAAAACCCAGAAAACUGCUAAGAGAAGCAACUUUUCUUACACAGGACUUUCUUUGUUUAAGCAUGUAUUUCUUGCUCAGCAAGAGUGACAGGGACUCCAGAUACCUGCUUUCUUAAUAAAGGUAGAUAUAAUUUGAGUGACUGAUAAAACCAAGAUAGGCUUCCAAUUGAAAUAGUUUGAAUUUCUAAUGUCUGGUAUUUAUCAUGAAAUAGAAGCAUGCUCUUAUUUUCAUAGUCAAGAGAAAUUCAAACAUCCUUCCCUAAUAAAAUUCUAAGCAUAGCAAACUUCUCUGCUCCAAGUGAAUCAGUAAAGCAUUUCUGUAUUGAGGUUCUCAACUCUUAAGGAGCAAUUUCCAGAGAAGCUCUGUCUCUUGGAAGCUGAACCCUGAAAGCAAGAACACCCCGAGAACACCCCGAAUAUUUCUGUUGGGGCAUUCUGUGUUAUUGAUGUUGGUUUUUUCCCCUUCAGAUUUCCUUUCUAUGAGCCUUGCCCCAAGAAGCCCCCUGGACUGGUAACUCUCUAAUCUGUCUGCAUCCUGGUUUGACUUAGGUGGAGGCACCAAGUGAUGAUGUAUAACCUUAAAAAAAAAAAAAAAAAAAA